GACAGAGGUCCCGAGCGUUGUCCGGAAUCAUUGGGCGUAAAGCGCGCGUAGGCGGCCCGAUAAGUCCGCUGUAAAAGUCAACGGCUCAACUGUUGAAAGCCGGUGGAUACUGUCGGGCUAGAGUACGGAAGAGGCAAGUGGAAUUCCUGGUGUAGCGGUGGAAUGCGCAGAUAUCAGGAGGAACACCUAUAGCGAAGGCAGCUUGCUGGGCUAUUACUAACACUCAGAGACGAAAGCUAGGGUAUCAAAUGGG
rnacentral:rRNA from 1 species